AAUGAACGUUGGCGGCGUGGAUUAGGCAUGCAAGUCGAGCGAGAACCGGUUUCGGCCGGGGACAGCGGCGAACGGCGUAGUAAUGCAUCGGAACGUACCCUCUGGUCGGGGAUAGCUACGGGAAACUGUAGGUAAUACCCGAUGAUCUCUGCGGAGCAAAGGUGAGAUUCCGCCGGAGGAGCGGCUGAUGUGAUAUUAGCUAGUUGGUGGGGUAAUGGCCUACCAAGGCGAUGAUGUCUAGGGGGUGUGAGAGCAUGGCCCCCACGACCGGAACUGAGAUACUGUCCGGACACCUACGGGUGGCUGCAGUCGAGAAUCUUCCGCAAUGGACGAAAGCCUGACGGAGCGACGCCGCGUGCGGGAUGAAGGCCCUUGGGUUGUAAACCGCUGUCAGAGGGGAUGAAAUCUUCGGAGGUACUCCUCCGAAGUUGACAGAGCCUCAAAGGAAGCACGGGCUAAGUACGUGCCAGCCGCCGCCGUAAUAC
rnacentral:rRNA from 1 species